GCGUGGGAUGAGGUAGUAGGUUGUAUAGUUUGGGGAGUGUGACCCCGUUCAGGAGAUAACUGUACAAUCUACUGUCUUGCCCAAGC
ensembl:miRNA pma-let-7a-3 pma-let-7a-3